rnacentral:rRNA from 1 species
CCUACGGGUGGCAGCAGUAGGGAAUCUUCCACAAUGGGCGAAAGCCUGAUGGAGCAACGCCGCGUGGGUGAAGAAGGUCUUCGGAGCGUAAAACCCUGUUGUUAGAGAAGAAAGUGCGUGAGAGUAACUGUUCACGUUUCGACGGUAUCUAACCAGAACGCCACGGCUAACUACGUCCCAGCAGCCGCGGUAAUACGUAGGUGGCAAGCGUUAUCCGGAUUGAUUGGGCGUAAAGGGAACGCAGGUGGUCUUUUAAGUCUGAUGUGAAAGCCUUCGGCUUAACCGGAGUAGUGCAUUGGAAACUGGGAGACUUGAGUGCAGAAGAGGAGGGUGGAACUCCAUGUGUAGCGGUGAAAUGCGUAGAUAUAUGGAAGAACACCAGUGGCGAAAGCGGCUCUCUGGUCUGUAACUGACGCGGAGGUUCGAAAGCGUGGGUAGCAAACAGGAUUAGAUACCCCAGUAGUC